UCCUGGCUCAGGACGAACGCUGGCGGCGUGCUUAACACAUGCAAGUCGAACGGAGCACCCUUGAUUGAGGUUUCGGCCAAAUGAUAGGAAUGCUUAGUGGCGGACUGGUGAGUAACGCGUGAGGAACUUGCCUUUCAGAGGGGGACAACAGUUGGAAACGACUGCUAAUACCGCAUGACGCAUUUUGAUCGCAUGGUCGAAAUGCCAAAGAUUUAUCGCUGAAAGAUGGCCUCGCGUCUGAUUAGCUAGUUGGUGAGGUAACGGCCCACCAAGGCGACGAUCAGUAGCCGGACUGAGAGGUUGACCGGCCACAUUGGGACUGAGAUACGGCCCAGACUCCUACGGGAGGCAGCAGUGGGGAAUAUUGGGCAAUGGGCGCAAGCCUGACCCAGCAACGCCGCGUGAAGGAAGAAGGCUUUCGGGUUGUAAACUUCUUUUAAGUGGGAAGAGUAGAAGACGGUACCACUUGAAUAAGCCACGGCUAACUACGUGCCAGCAGCCGCGGUAAUACGUAGGUGGCAAGCGUUGUCCGGAUUUACUGGGUGUAAAGGGCGUGCAGCCGGGCAUGCAAGUCAGAUGUGAAAUCUCAGGGCUUAACCCUGAAACUGCAUUUGAAACUGUAUGUCUUGAGUGCCGGAGAGGUAAUCGGAAUUCCUUGUGUAGCGGUGAAAUGCGUAGAUAUAAGGAAGAACACCAGUGGCGAAGGCGGAUUACUGGACGGUAACUGACGGUGAGGCGCGAAAGCGUGGGGAGCGAACAGGAUUAGAUACCCUGGUAGUCCACGCUGUAAACGAUGGAUACUAGGUGUGGGGGGUCUGACCCCCUCCGUGCCGCAGUUAACACAAUAAGUAUCCCGCCU
rnacentral:rRNA from 1 species